AGAGAGUAAUACCGUAUACGCCCUUCGGGGGAAAGAUUUAUCGGAGAAGGAUCGGCCCGCGUUAGAUUAGAUAGUUGGUGGGGUAAUGGCCUACCAAGUCUACGAUCUAUAGCUGGUUUUAGAGGAUGAUCAGCAACACUGGGACUGAGACACGGCCCAG
rnacentral:rRNA from 1 species